rnacentral:tRNA from 1 species
CGGGGUGUAGCGCAGCUUGGUAGCGCGCGUCGUUCGGGACGACGAGGUCGGAGGUUCGAAUCCUCUCACCCCGA